rnacentral:rRNA from 1 species
AAGCCGGAAUUGCUAGUAAUGGCAGGUCAGCAUACUGCCGUGAAUACGUUCCCGGGCCUUGUACACACCGCCCGUCACACCAUGAGAGUUGGCAAUACCCAACGUACGUGAUCUAACCCGCAAGGGAGGAAGCGUCCUAAGGUAGGGUCAGCGAUUGGGGUGAAGUCGUAACAAGGUACC